rnacentral:rRNA from 1 species
AUUGAACGCUGGCGGCAUGCUUUACACAUGCAAGUCGAACGGCAGCGCGGGCUUCGGCCUGGCGGCGAGUGGCGAACGGGUGAGUAAUGCAUCGGAACGUGCCCAGUAGUGGGGGAUAGCCCGGCGAAAGCCGGAUUAAUACCGCAUACGACCUGAGGGUGAAAGCGGGGGACCGAAAGGCCUCGCGCUAUUGGAGCGGCCGAUGUCGGAUUAGCUAGUUGGUGGGGUAAAGGCUUACCAAGGCGACGAUCCGUAGCUGGUCUGAGAGGACGACCAGCCACACUGGGACUGGGACACGGCCCAGACUCCUACGGGAGGCAGCAGUGGGGAAUUUUGGACAAUGGGGGCAACCCUGAUCCAGCCAUGCCGCGUGCGGGAAGAAGGCCUUCGGGUUGUAAACCGCUUUUGUUCGGGAAGAAAUCCUCUGGGCUAAUACCCCGGGGGGAUGGCGGUACCGGAAGAAUAAGCACCGGCUAACUACGUG